rnacentral:rRNA from 1 species
GACGAACGCUGGCGGCGUGCUUAACACAUGCAAGUCGAGCGGUAAGGCCCUUUCGGGGGUACACGAGCGGCGAACGGGUGAGUAACACGUGGGUGACCUGCCCUCAGCUCUGGGAUAAGCCCGGGAAACCGGGUCUAAUACCGGAUAUGACUCCAUGACGCAUGUUGUGGGGUGGAAAGCCUUGUGCGGCUGAGGAUGGGCCCGCGGCCUAUCAGCUUGUUGGUGGGGUGANGGCCUACCAAGGCGACGACGGGUAGCCGGCCUGAGAGGGCGACCGGCCACACUGGGACUGAGACACGGCCCAGACUCCUACGGGAGGCAGCAGUGGGGAAUCUUGCGCAAUGGGCGAAAGCCUGACGCAGCGACGCCGCGUGAGGGAUGACGGCCU